rnacentral:lncRNA from 1 species
AAAACUUACCCAUAUAGUUUAGAAUGAAUGGAAGUUUAGUCUAAAAACAGAGAGAAUGAACUAGUUAACUCCAAUUAUUUCAUGAAAAUAAGGGGUUUUGAAAUUACUUACGUCUUAGUAUGUGUUGAACGGCAGGAAGAACACCCACUUCAUUUCUCCAGUCUACAGUAUCAACACUCUUGUGUUUCUCCCACCAUUCUUCUAAGCUAUUAUGCCAUUGGUGGUUUGGUAUUGCUGUGGUUUUAAAAAAAAAAUUGUUUCUGCGGUGCUGUGAGAAUAAGUAACUAUGAAAUAAAGUAUCAGAUUGUUUAGUAAAUUUUUUUAUAAAAGUGCUUUUGAAAAAAAAACAGUAUUAUAAUGUUUGAUAAAUUUUUAUGUAAAACAGAUGUGAAAAAAAACUAGUUUUUCAAAGCUGGGUUUUGCAGCUUUGUGUUUUUGGUUUUUUUCACCCAAAACUAUGAUAAAAAACUGAAGCUGAAAUGUUUACCAAACAUAAAAAAACUCCUAACUUUUUUUUAUGAUCAUUUUCUUAAUAAUAACCUCAGUACCAAACUAGGCGUGUUAAAGCUGGAAUUCUGCCAUCCUUCCCAUAUACCGUCUCCUGCAAAUGAAAUUUAAAAAAUAAUUUUAAAUACCACAGCCCCAUCGAUCUCAACCCCAUACAGAAACUUUAUGGUUUUAUUUUCUGGUAUUUUGGGUGCACAAGCGGAUGAAUCGAACGGGCACGAUUACUUGAAACAAUAAAUUAAUCGACAAUAUUUUAAAAAAAAUGAAAUGCACAGAUAAAGAGACGUUACUUUUGUGCUGCGGUGAACUUCGGCGGCGCCAUUUUUGGCCUGAUCGAGUGGGUUUGGAGGUUUUUUGGGUUUUCUUUCUCUCUCUAGCUUUCUCUCUCGAUCACGCAGAGAUAGAGAUGAUAUGGGUUGUAGAAUUUCUGGGUUGGGUUUACUCUCUCUCUCCAUCACGCAGAGAUAGAGAGAUGAUAUGGGUUGUAGAAUUUCUGGGUUGGGUUUUCUCUCUCUCUCUUUCUCAUUCUCUCUCAUUUUUCUCUCUUCAGUAAUAACCUGGUUUAUACUCUCUCUCUCGCGAGCUGGAUUUAAUUUAUAUUUUUUUUUCUCUCUCUCAUGCAGUUCGGAUGGAUUUUCAAUUUCUUUUCAAAAAAACUUGUUUCUCUAAACACGAUUUGCCAUUUUAGUGAAAACCACGGUUUUAGAGCUCUGCAGGCUAAUACGCUGGGUUUUAUAGCCU